rnacentral:rRNA from 1 species
CGUAGGGUGCGAGCGUUAAUCGGAAUUACUGGGCGUAAAGUGUGCGCAGGCGGCAGAGCAAGUCGAGUGUGAAAGCCCCGGGCUUAACUUGGGAAUUGCGCUCGAAACUACUUUGCUGGAGUGUGGCAGAGGAAGGUGGAAUUCCGCGUGUAGCGGUGAAAUGCGUAGAGAUGUGGAGGAACACCAAUGGCGAAGGCAGCCUUCUGGGCCAACACUGACGCUCAUGCACGAAAGCGUGGGGAGCAAAACAGGAUUAGAUACCCUGGUAGUCCACGCCCUAAACGAUGACGACUAGUGUUGGAGGAGUUAAAUCCUUUAGUAACGCAGCUAAACGCGCGAAAGUCGUCCGCCUGGGGAUACGGUCGCAAGAUUAA